rnacentral:rRNA from 1 species
UGAGCAAUCUGCCCUUCUCAUCGGAAUAAGCGUUGGAAACGACGUCUAAUGCCGAAUACGACCUCCUUUCGCAUGAUCGGAGGUGGAAAGCUCCGGCGGAGAAGGAUGAGCUCGCGGCCUAUCAGCUAGUUGGUGCGGUCAUGGCGCACCAAGGCGACGACGGGUAGCUGGUCUGAGAGGAUGGCCAGCCACAGUUGGGGCUGAGACACCGGCAGA